rnacentral:rRNA from 1 species
CCUACGGGUGGCAGCAGUGGGGAAUAUUGGACAAUGGGGGAAACCCUGAUCCAGCGACGCCGCGUGAGUGAAGAAGUAUUUCGGUACGUAAAGCUCUAUCAGCAGGAAAGAAAAUGACGGUACCUGACUAAGAUGCCACGGCCACCAACGUGCCAGCAGCCGCGGUACCACUGAGGGGGCAAGCGUUAUCCGGAUUUACUGGGUGUAAAGGGAGCGUAGACGGCCGCGCAAGUCUGGAGUGAAAUGCCGGGGCCCAACCCCAGAACUGCUCUGGAAACUGGGAAGCUGGAGUGCAGGAGAGGUAAGCGGAAUUCCUGGUGUAGCGGUGAAAUGCGUAGAUAUCAGGAGGAACACCGACGGCGAAGGCAGCUUACUGGGCUAUAACUGACGCUGAGGCUCGAAGGCGUGGGGAGCAAACAGGAUUAGAUACCCUAGUAGUC